rnacentral:tRNA from 3 species
GGGUCGUUAGCUCAGUUGGUAGAGCAGUUGACUUUUAAUCAAUUGGUCGCA